rnacentral:rRNA from 1 species
UACGGAGGGAGCUAGCGUUGUUCGGAAUUACUGGGCGUAAAGCGUGCGUAGGCGGUUAUUCAAGUCAGAGGUGAAAGCCCGGGGCUCAACCCCGGAACUGCCUUUGAAACUAGAUAGCUAGAAUCUUGGAGAGGUCAGUGGAAUUCCGAGUGUAGAGGUGAAAUUCGUAGAUAUUCGGAAGAACACCAGUGGCGAAGGCGACUCACUGGACACGUAUUGACGCUGAGGUGCGAAAGCGUGGGGAGCAAACAGG